CUCAGGAACAAGCUCCAGCACCUCCUGGAGAGACGGGAAGGUCUCCGAGAGCCAACAGCUUUGAGGAGCAGCUGGCGUCAAGGAGGCAUAAGAUCACUUCUUGGCUGCGGAGAUUUCUUCUGUUCCUCGCCUUCCUGCAGAUCGCCAUCCUCAUCUUCAUCCUCCUGAAGAGGGACAUCCUCAAUGGAGUCCUGCCACCAAAGCUGGCAGACGCCUUUGGGAGCUGCCCAGUGAGGUCCCAGUUCUCUUGAAAU